CGGACGGGUGAGUAAUGUCUGGGAAACUGCCCGAUGGAGGGGGAUAACUACUGGAAACGGUAGCUAAUACCGCACAACGUCGCAAGACCAAAGAGGGGGACCUUCGGGCCUCUUGCCAUCGGAUGUGCCCAGAUGGGAUUAGCUAGUAGGUGGGGUAAUGGCUCACCUAGGCGACGAUCCCUAGCUGGUCUGAGAGGAUGACCAGCCACACUGGAACUGAGACACGGUCCAG
rnacentral:rRNA from 1 species